rnacentral:rRNA from 1 species
AACGAACGCUGGCGGCAGGCCUAACACAUGCAAGUCGAACGAAGUCUUCGGACUUAGUGGCGCACGGGUGAGUAACACGUGGGAAUAUACCUUACGCUGGGGGAUAACAUCGGGAAACUGAUGCUAAUACCGCAUACGCCCUUCGGGGGAAAGAUUUAUCGGCGAAAGAUUAGCCCGCGUCCGAUUAGCUAGUUGGUGAGGUAAUGGCUCACCAAGGCUCCGAUCGGCAGCUGGUCUGAGAGGAUGACCAGCCACACUGGGACUGAGACACGGCCCAGACUCCGACGGGAGGGAGCAGUGUGGAAUAUUGGACAAGGGGCGCAAGCCUGAUCCAGCCAUGCCGCGUGAGUGAUGAAGGCCUUAGGGUUGUAAAGCUCUUUGACCCACGGCGAUGAUGACGGUAGUGGGAGAAGAAGCCCCGGCUAACUUCGUG